AGAUUGAACGUCUGGGUCGGCAUGCCCUAACACAUGCAAGUCGAGGCGGCAGCGCGGGGGCGACCCUGGCGGCGAGCGGCGGACGGGUGAGUAAGGCAUCGGAAUCUGCCCUGAUGUUGGGGGAUAACGUAGGGAAACUUUACGCUAAUACCGCAUACGACCGAGGAGGUGAAAGCGGGGGACCGAAAGGCCUCGCGCAGCAGGAU
rnacentral:rRNA from 1 species